GGUUAAGCGACUAAGCGUACACGGUGGAUGCCCUGGCAGUCAGAGGCGAUGAAGGGCGUGCUAAUCUGCGAUAAGCGCCGGUAAGGUGAUAUGAACCGUUAUAACCGGCGAUACCCGAAUGGGGAAACCCAGUGUGAUUCGUCACACUAUCAUUAACUGAAUCCAUAGGUUAAUGAGGCGAACCGGGGGAACUGAAACAUCUAAGUACCCCGAGGAAAAGAAAUCAACCGAGAUUCCCCCAGUAGCGGCGAGCGAACGGGGAGGAGCCCAGAGCCUGAAUCAGCAUGUGUGUUAGUGGAAGCGUCUGGAAAGGCGCGCGAUACAGGGUGACAGCCCCGUACACAAAAGCGCAUGUGCUGUGAGCUCGAUGAGUAGGGCGGGACACGUGGUAUCCUGUCUGAAUAUGGGGGGACCAUCCUCCAAGGCUAAAUACUCCUGACUGACCGAUAGUGAACCAGUACCGUGAGGGAAAGGCGAAAAGAACCCCGGCGAGGGGAGUGAAAAAGAACCUGAAACCGUGUACGUACAAGCAGUGGGAGCACAGGUUUACCUGUGUGACUGCGUACCUUUUGUAUAAUGGGUCAGCGACUUAUAUUCUGUAGCAAGGUUAACCGAAUAGGGGAGCCGCAGGGAAACCGAGUCUUAAUUGGGCGUUAAGUUGCAGGGUAUAGACCCGAAACCCGGUGAUCUAGCCAUGGGCAGGUUGAAGGUUGGGUAACACUAACUGGAGGACCGAACCGACUAAUGUUGAAAAAUUAGCGGAUGACCUGUGGCUGGGGGUGAAAGGCCAAUCAAACCGGGAGAUAGCUGGUUCUCCCCGAAAGCUAUUUAGGUAGCGCCUCGUGAAUUCAUCUCCGGGGGUAGAGCACUGUUUCGGCUAGGGGGCCAUCCCGGCUUACCAACCCGAUGCAAACUGCGAAUACCGGAGAAUGUUAUCACGGGAGACACACGGCGGGUGCUAACGUCCGUCGUGAAGAGGGAAACAACCCAGACCGCCAGCUAAGGUCCCAAAGUCAUGGUUAAGUGGGAAACGAUGUGGGAAGGCCCAGACAGCCAGGAUGUUGGCUUAGAAGCAGCCAUCAUUUAAAGAAAGCGUAAUAGCUCACUGGUCGAGUCGGCCUGCGCGGAAGAUGUAACGGGGCUAAACCAUGCACCGAAGCUGCGGCAGCGACACUAUGUGUUGUUGGGUAGGGGAGCGUUCUGUAAGCCUGCGAAGGUGGCCUGUGAGGGUUGCUGGAGGUAUCAGAAGUGCGAAUGCUGACAUAAGUAACGAUAAAGCGGGUGAAAAGCCCGCUCGCCGGAAGACCAAGGGUUCCUGUCCAACGUUAAUCGGGGCAGGGUGAGUCGACCCCUAAGGCGAGGCCGAAAGGCGUAGUCGAUGGGAAACGGGUUAAUAUUCCCGUACUUGGUGUUACUGCGAAGGGGGGACGGAGAAGGCUAUGUUGGCCGGGCGACGGUUGUCCCGGUUUAAGCGUGUAGGUGUGUGUUCCAGGUAAAUCCGGUUCACUUUAACACUGAGGCGUGAUGACGAGGCACUACGGUGCUGAAGCAACAAAUGCCCUGCUUCCAGGAAAAGCCUCUAAGCAUCAGGUAACAUCAAAUCGUACCCCAAACCGACACAGGUGGUCAGGUAGAGAAUACCAAGGCGCUUGAGAGAACUCGGGUGAAGGAACUAGGCAAAAUGGUGCCGUAACUUCGGGAGAAGGCACGCUGACACGUAGGUGAAGUGAUUUACUCACGGAGCUGAAGUCAGUCGAAGAUACCAGCUGGCUGCAACUGUUUAUUAAAAACACAGCACUGUGCAAACACGAAAGUGGACGUAUACGGUGUGACGCCUGCCCGGUGCCGGAAGGUUAAUUGAUGGGGUCAGCGCAAGCGAAGCUCCUGAUCGAAGCCCCGGUAAACGGCGGCCGUAACUAUAACGGUCCUAAGGUAGCGAAAUUCCUUGUCGGGUAAGUUCCGACCUGCACGAAUGGCGUAAUGAUGGCCAGGCUGUCUCCACCCGAGACUCAGUGAAAUUGAACUCGCUGUGAAGAUGCAGUGUACCCGCGGCAAGACGGAAAGACCCCGUGAACCUUUACUAUAGCUUGACACUGAACAUUGAGCCUUGAUGUGUAGGAUAGGUGGGAGGCUUUGAAGUGUGGACGCCAGUCUGCAUGGAGCCGACCUUGAAAUACCACCCUUUAAUGUUUGAUGUUCUAACGUGGACCCGUAAUCCGGGUUGCGGACAGUGUCUGGUGGGUAGUUUGACUGGGGCGGUCUCCUCCUAAAGAGUAACGGAGGAGCACGAAGGUUGGCUAAUCCUGGUCGGACAUCAGGAGGUUAGUGCAAUGGCAUAAGCCAGCUUGACUGCGAGCGUGACGGCGCGAGCAGGUGCGAAAGCAGGUCAUAGUGAUCCGGUGGUUCUGAAUGGAAGGGCCAUCGCUCAACGGAUAAAAGGUACUCCGGGGAUAACAGGCUGAUACCGCCCAAGAGUUCAUAUCGACGGCGGUGUUUGGCACCUCGAUGUCGGCUCAUCACAUCCUGGGGCUGAAGUAGGUCCCAAGGGUAUGGCUGUUCGCCAUUUAAAGUGGUACGCGAGCUGGGUUUAGAACGUCGUGAGACAGUUCGGUCCCUAUCUGCCGUGGGCGCUGGAGAACUGAGGGGGGCUGCUCCUAGUACGAGAGGACCGGAGUGGACGCAUCACUGGUGUUCGGGUUGUCAUGCCAAUGGCACUGCCCGGUAGCUAAAUGCGGAAGAGAUAAGUGCUGAAAGCAUCUAAGCACGAAACUUGCCCCGAGAUGAGUUCUCCCUGAGACUUAGAGUCUCCUGAAGGAACGUUGAAGACGACGACGUUGAUAGGCCGGGUGUGUAAGCGCAGCGAUGCGUUGAGCUAACCGGUACUAAUGAACCGUGAGGCUUAACCUU
rnacentral:rRNA from 1 species